AUCCGACUGACGAGUCCGAUAUAGGCCGAAACGCGUGUGCUGGAU
rfam:Schistosoma haematobium scaffold799_27, whole genome shotgun sequence.